GGCUCAUCACAUCCUGGGGCUGGAGCAGGUCCCAAGGGUUCGGCUGUUCGCCGAUUAAAGUGGUACGUGAGCUGGGUUUAAAACGUCGUGAGACAGUUUGGUCCCUAUCUUUCGCGGGCGUAGGAUAUUUGAGAGGAGCUGUCCCUAGUACGAGAGGACCGGGAUGGACGAACCAAUGGUGUUCCAGUUGUCGCGCCAGCGGCAUUGCUGGGUAGCUAUGUUCGGACCGGAUAACCGCUGAAAGCAUCUAAGCGGGAAGCCGACCUCAAGAUGAGAUAUCCCUCUUGAUGGAGACAUCAAGACUGAAGGCCCCUCGGAGAUGACGAGGUUGAUAGGCCGGGUGUGCACGUGCGGCAACGCACUUAGCUUACCGGUACUAAUCGGCCGUGCGACUUAGCCAC
rnacentral:rRNA from 1 species